rnacentral:rRNA from 1 species
UGACACAGGUGCUGCAUGGCUGUCGUCAGCUCGUGCGUGAGAUGUUGGGUUAAGUCCCGUAACGAGCGCAACCCUUGUCCUUAGUUACCAGCACGUUAUGGUGGGCACUCUAAGGAGACUGCCGGUGACAAACCGGAGGAAGGUGGGGAUGACGUCAAGUCAUCAUGGCCCUUACGGCCUGGGCUACACACGUGCUACAAUGGUCGGUACAAAGGGUUGCCAAGCCGCGAGGUGGAGCUAAUCCCAUAAAACCGAUCGUAGUCCGGAUCGCAGUCUGCAACUCGACUGCGUGAAGUCGGAAUCGCUAGUAAUCGUGAAUCAGAAUGUCACGGUGAAUACGUUCCCGGGCCUU